CUUGCCCAUUCAACACCAGGACC
rnacentral:piRNA from 1 species